AGCCUAAGCAUGAUAAUUGUGUGUUCAGGCGCACGUGUGAGAUGUGGCACCAUGGAACCAUGGUAUGAGGUCGGCACGUGACCUGUUUGACA
ensembl:snoRNA